rnacentral:rRNA from 1 species
AUUGAACGCUGGCGGCAGGCCUAACACAUGCAAGUCGAGCGGAUGAAGGGAGCUUGCUCCUGGAUUCAGCGGCGGACGGGUGAGUAAUGCCUAGGAAUCUGCCUGGUAGUGGGGGAUAACGUCCGGAAACGGGCGCUAAUACCGCAUACGUCCUGAGGGAGAAAGUGGGGGAGCUUCGGACCUCACGCUAUCAGAGGAGCCUAGGUCGGAUUAGCUAGUUGGUGGGGUAAAGGCCUACCAAGGCGACGAUCCGUAACUGGUCUGAGAGGAUGAUCAGUCACACUGGAACUGAGACACGGUCCAGACUCCUACGGGAGGCAGCAGUGGGGAAUAUUGGGCAAUGGGCGAAAGCCUGAUCCAGCCAUGCCGCGUGUGUGAAGAAGGUCUUCGGAUUGUAAAGCACUUUAAGUUGGGAGGAAGGGCAGUAAGUUAAUACCUUGCUGUUUUGACGUUACCAACAGAAUAAGCACCGGCUAACUUCGUG